rnacentral:rRNA from 1 species
UACGGGGGGGGUAAGCGUUGUUCGGAAUUACUGGGCGUAAAGGGCUCGUAGGCGGCCAACUAAGUCAGACGUGAAAUCCCUCAGCUUAACUGGGGAACUGCGUCUGAUACUGGAUGGCUUGGAUUCGGGAGAGGAAUGCGGAGUUCCAGGUGUAGCGGUGAAAUGCGUAGAUAUCUGGAGGAACACCGGUGGCGAAGGCGGCAUUCUGGACCGACAUUGACGCUGAGGAGCGAAAGCCAGGGGAGCAAACGGG